CAACUACUCCCUCCGUUCGGAAUUACUUGUCUCGGAAAUGGAUGUAUCUAGAACUAAAAUAUGUCUAGAUACAUCCAUUUCCGUGACAAGUAAUUCCGAACGGAGGGAGUAAUAC
rnacentral:pre_miRNA from 1 species